GCCACGGAUGAAGCACGAGUGCUACGUCUGUACAACAAGGGGGCGCGCCGCCGAUU
rnacentral:sRNA from 2 species